GCUGCUGCUGCUGCUGCUGCACACUGCUUGCACGAGCAGCAGAGUGCGGCAGCAGGUAGCAGAAAGGAGGAGGAGACGGAGGAGGGCGGUCGUGCGGCGUCUGUCAUC
rnacentral:snoRNA from 1 species